AUUCCAGCUCCAAUAGCGUAUAUUAAAGUUGUUGCAGUUAAAAAGCUCGUAGUUGGAUCUCAGGUGCAGGCGGGCGGUCCGGCUCGCGCCGGUCACUGCUCGUAUCUCCUGCCCUACCGUUUGCCGGCUCUCUCCCGUGGGUGCUCUUCACUGAGCGUCCCGGGUGGCCGGUGCGUUUACUUUGAAAAAAUUAGAGUGUUCAAAGCAGGCCUCGGCAGCCUGAAUAAUGGUGCAUGGAAUAAUGGAAUAGGACCUCGGUUCUAUUUUGUUGGUUUUCGGAACGGAGGUAAUGAUUAACAGGGACAAACGGGGGCAUUCGUAUUGCGGCGUUAGAGGUGAAAUUCUUGGAUCGCCGCAAGACGAGCUACUGCGAAAGCAUUUGUCAAGAAUGUUUUCAUCA
rnacentral:rRNA from 1 species